UUUUUAUGAGAGUUUGAUCCUGGCUCAGGACGAACGCUGGCGGCGUGCCUAAUACAUGCAAGUCGAACGCUUCUUUUUCCACCGGAGCUUGCUCCACCGGAAAAAGAGGAGUGGCGAACGGGUGAGUAACACGUGGGUAACCUGCCCAUCAGAAGGGGAUAACACUUGGAAACAGGUGCUAAUACCGUAUAACAAUCGAAACCGCAUGGUUUUGAUUUGAAAGGCGCUUUCGGGUGUCGCUGAUGGAUGGACCCGCGGUGCAUUAGCUAGUUGGUGAGGUAACGGCUCACCAAGGCCACGAUGCAUAGCCGACCUGAGAGGGUGAUCGGCCACAUUGGGACUGAGACACGGCCCAAACUCCUACGGGAGGCAGCAGUAGGGAAUCUUCGGCAAUGGACGAAAGUCUGACCGAGCAACGCCGCGUGAGUGAAGAAGGUUUUCGGAUCGUAAAACUCUGUUGUUAGAGAAGAACAAGGAUGAGAGUAACUGUUCAUCCCUUGACGGUAUCUAACCAGAAAGCCACGGCUAACUACGUGCCAGCAGCCGCGGUAAUACGUAGGUGGCAAGCGUUGUCCGGAUUUAUUGGGCGUAAAGCGAGCGCAGGCGGUUUCUUAAGUCUGAUGUGAAAGCCCCCGGCUCAACCGGGGAGGGUCAUUGGAAACUGGGAGACUUGAGUGCAGAAGAGGAGAGUGGAAUUCCAUGUGUAGCGGUGAAAUGCGUAGAUAUAUGGAGGAACACCAGUGGCGAAGGCGGCUCUCUGGUCUGUAACUGACGCUGAGGCUCGAAAGCGUGGGGAGCAAACAGGAUUAGAUACCCUGGUAGUCCACGCCGUAAACGAUGAGUGCUAAGUGUUGGAGGGUUUCCGCCCUUCAGUGCUGCAGCUAACGCAUUAAGCACUCCGCCUGGGGAGUACGACCGCAAGGUUGAAACUCAAAGGAAUUGACGGGGGCCCGCACAAGCGGUGGAGCAUGUGGUUUAAUUCGAAGCAACGCGAAGAACCUUACCAGGUCUUGACAUCCUUUGACCACUCUAGAGAUAGAGCUUCCCCUUCGGGGGCAAAGUGACAGGUGGUGCAUGGUUGUCGUCAGCUCGUGUCGUGAGAUGUUGGGUUAAGUCCCGCAACGAGCGCAACCCUUAUUGUUAGUUGCCAUCAUUCAGUUGGGCACU
rnacentral:rRNA from 1 species